CCUACGGGGGGCAGCAGUGGGGAAUAUUGCGCAAUGGGGGAAACCCUGACGCAGCAACGCCGCGUGGAGGAUGAAGGCCUUCGGGUCGUAAACUCCUGUCAGGUGGGAAGAAUAGGCUUCGGCUAAUACCCGAAGCUCUUGACGGUACCACCAGAGGAAGCCCCGGCUAACUCCGUGCCAGCAGCCGCGGUAAUACGGAGGGGGCAAGCGUUAUUCGGAAUCAUUGGGCGUAAAGGGCGCGUAGGCGGCUUGGCAAGUCAAAGGUGAAAUCCCUCGGCCUAACCGAGGAACUGCCUUUGAAACUGCUUGGCUUGAGGCCGGGAGAGGGUAGCGGAAUUCCCAGUGUAGCGGUGAAAUGCGUAGAUAUUGGGAGGAACACCAGUGGCGAAGGCGGCUACCUGGACCGGUUCUGACGCUGAGGCGCGAAAGCGUGGGGAGCA
rnacentral:rRNA from 1 species